AUUCCUCAGCCCAUCUGGAUUUUUUUUUCUAGAUGGAGCUGGUUGUGGAGGUUGCUGGCUUUUUAAUUAAUGUCUGCUCCUCUUAAAUGCAUUAGUGUGAAUGUUAUCAAAUGUUUCUCAGUGUAAUAAUUUAUUUGCGCUGUUGUUACUUUGGUAUAUCAUCUGUUCAUGCUUCUAACAGUCCUUGAAUUGGACAAUAUUUACUUUUGCAU
rnacentral:misc_RNA from 1 species